rnacentral:rRNA from 1 species
UACGUAGGGGGCAAGCGUUGUCCGGAAUCAUUGGGCGUAAAGAGCGUGUAGGCGGUUCGGUAAGUCGGCUGUGAAAGUCCAGGGCUCAACCCUGGGAUGCCGGUCGAUACUGCCGGACUAGAGUUCGGAAGAGGCGAGCGGAAUUCCCGGUGUAGCGGUGAAAUGCGCAGAUAUCGGGAGGAACACCUAUGGCGAAGGCAGCUCGCUGGGACGUUACUGACGCUGAGACGCGAAAGCGUGGGGAGCAAACAGG